UAGUAUCAGCGUGUCAGCCGCCGCGGUAAUACGUAGGUGGCAAGCGUUGUCCGGAAUUAUUGGGCGUAAAGCGCGCGCAGGCGGUCCUUUAAGUCUGAUGUGAAAUCCCACGGCUCAACCGUGGAAGGUCAUUGGAAACUGGGGGACUUGAGUACAGAAGAGGAAAGCGGAAUUCCAAGUGUAGCGGUGAAAUGCGUAGAGAUUUGGAGGAACACCAGUGGCGAAGGCGGCUUUCUGGUCUGUAACUGACGCUGAGGCGCGAAAGCGUGGGGAGCAAACAGGAUUAGAUACCCUGGUAGUCCACGCCGUAAACGAUGAGUGCUAAGUGUUAGGGGGUUUCCGCCCCUUAGUGCUGCAGCUAACGCAUUAAGCACUCCGCCUGGGGAGUACGGUCGCAAGACUGAAACUCAAAGGAAUUGGCGGG
rnacentral:rRNA from 1 species